GAGGAAGUAAAAGUCGUAACAAGGUUUCCGCGGGAGGAUCAUUA
rnacentral:rRNA from 1 species